rnacentral:rRNA from 1 species
GACGAACGCUGGCGGCGUGCCUAGUACAUGCAAGUUGAGCGCUGAAGGUUGGUACUUGUACCGACUGGAUGAGCAGCGAACGGGUGAGUAACGCGUGGGGAAUCUGCCUUUGAGCGGGGGACAACAUUUGGAAACGAAUGCUAAUACCGCAUAAAAACUUUAAACACAAGUUUUAAGUUUGAAAGAUGCAAUUGCAUCACUCAAAGAUGAUCCCGCGUUGUAUUAGCUAGUUGGUGAGGUAAAGACUCACCAAGGCGAUGAUACAUAACCGACCUGAGAGGGUGAUCGGCCACAUUGGGACUGAGACACGGCCCAAACUCCUACGGGAGGCAGCAGUAGGGAAUCUUCGGCAAUGGACGAAAGUCUGACCGAGCAACGCCGCGUGAGUGAAGAAGGUUUUCGGAUCGUAAAACUCUGUUGGUAGAGAAGAACGUUGGUGAGAGUGGAAAGCUCAUCAAGUGACGGUAACUACCCAGAAAGGGACGGCUAACUACGUG